GACGAACGCUGGCGGCGUGCUUAACACAUGCAAGUCGAACGAAGUGGCGAACGGGUGAGUAACGCGUAAUCAACCUGCCCUUCAGAGGGGGACAACAGUUGGAAACGAAUGCUAAUACCGCAUAAUGAAGGAGGGGAUUGCGUCUGAGUAGAUAGUGGGAGGGGUAACGGCCCACCAAGGCGAUGAUCAGUAGCCGGUCUUAUAGUAGGAAAGGCCAAAUUGGUACGUAGGCACGGCCCAGACUCCUACGGGAGGCAGCAGGGGGGAAUCUGCGGAAAUGGGCGAAAGUCUGACGGAGCAACGCCGCGUGAGUGAUGACGGCCUUCGGGUUGUAAAGCUCUGUUAAUCGGGACGCGGUCCCGGAAUAGAAAGCCACGGCUAACUACGUGCCAGCAGCCGCGGUAAUAC
rnacentral:rRNA from 1 species